GGUGGGUUGGCGUAAUGGCAACGCGCUAGUUUCCGGAUACGCCUGGCUUCAAACCCAGGCUAUCAGCUAGAGAUUCUGGGUUCGAGUCCCAGGCCUGUCG